UUUUCUCUUUUAUAUUAGAAUGCCUUGCAGUAAUAUCUGGUCAUUCAAGAGGAAAACAUCCACAGCUGACUGGAAGUUCCAGGAGCGUGGAAAGGCGUUACAAGUGGUGGGUUUUACUGCAGGGCAGCAUGGAGGAGAGCUGAUCUUGUCACAGGAGGCAUUUUCCAUUGGACUGGUCAGUUUUCCCAGAAAAGAAUCCUUCACGUUCCUCUCCAAUCAGGACUAUGGCAAGCCACCAACACUUUGGAAAAGAAGAGAGAACUGGGGUCUCACUGUUCAGUAUGCAGACUUUCACUUGAAAUCUCCUUAUUUUCUUCUUUUUUUUUUUUGCUUUUUAGGGUCACACCCUCGGCAUAUGAAGUUCCUGGGCUAGCUAUAGCUGCCGGUCUACACCACAGCCACAGCAAUUCAAGAUCUGAACCACAGCUGUGACCUACACCACAGCUCACAGCAACACCAGAUCUUUAACCCACUGAGUGAGGCCAGAUAUCAAACCUGCAUCCUCAUGGAUACUAGCUGGAUUCAUUUCUGCGGCACCACAAAGGGAACUCUUUCUUAUAUAUUACCUGUCCCUCCACUGUGUCUGACUGUUCAAUCCACAUCUGGAGUUCCUGUCAUGGCACAGUGUUGAAAGGAAUCCGACUAGGAACCAUGAGGUUGCGGGUUCCAUCCCUGCCCUCGCUCAGUGGGCUAAAGAUCUGGCAUUGCCAUGAGCUGUGGUGUAAGUCGCAGACUCGGCUCAGAUCUGGCGUGGCUGUGGCUGUGGCAUAGGACAGCAGCUGUAGCUCUGAUUAGACCCCCCCAAGCCUGGGAACCUCCAUAUGCCGCAGGUGUGGCCCUAAAAAGCAAAAAAAAAAAAAAAAAAAAAAGAGUCUUGGUCAGUUGUGUCCAUUGUUUUAAUUUGAAUUUCUCUGCUGACAAAUCUGAUGACAUUUUUUUUCAUGUAUUUUUAAUAACAUAUCUCUCAGGAAUUGUUCAUGGACAAAACUCAUUUUUUUUCAAGUGGAAUAUUAGAUAAUUUCUUACUUAUCAUCUCUUAAUUUGUUAAAGACAGAAAUCCUUUUAGACCAGAUUUAUGAAAAAUAUUUUUCCAUUUUAUUAUUUGUUGGAUUUUUUGUUGGCUUGAUUGUUACAUUUCUGCCGUAGAAUUUUUUAAAAAUUUUUACAUGAUCAAAAUUAUCACACUUUUCCUUCAUGCCUAGAAAGCCUUACAAUUCCAGGAUCAGAUAAAAAUUACUCAAUAUUUUCUCCUUUCAUUUGCAUGUUAUGAAUUUUUCACAUUUUACACUUUCUCCCUGGGAUUUAAUUUGUAGUCUUUUCUCCUAGUCAGUUAACCAGGUGACUGAACACUGUUUAUUAAAUAAUCGUCAGUUUUUCAACUAAUAUGCAAUCUAGCCCUGACCACGUCCCUAUCGUAAACUCUUCUUUGUAUUAGAGUCUGUUUUUGGUCUAUUUCAACCCCAUUUGUCUGUUGAUUUUUAUUCCAGAACAUCCAGUUUUAAUUACCAUAACUCUAUAGAACAUUACAAUAUUUACUAGAGAAAAGCCUGCUUAUUGCCCUUCUUUUCAAAUAUUUUUUAGCUCUUUCAUUCCAUUUACUAUUCAAGAUUAACUUUAGAAUACACGGUCAAGUUUCCAGAAAAUAAAAGCAGCGAAAUGAUGUCGACUAGAAUUACAUUAAAUAUGUACAUUCAUUUGAGAAGAAUUAACUUGUUGACAGCAUCUGUUUCUCCUCUCUAAGAAGAUGACUCCUUUUCCAGCUAGCCAAGCCUUCUUUUCUUUCUCCUGCUGAAGAUGUAUUGUCUUCUUCAUACAGAGUCUGUGUAAUUACUCAAGGAGUUUAUUUUUAGACAGUUUAUAUUUUUGUGCUAUUUUGAAUGAUUUUAAUCUUUCUAUGUUCUGAUUAUCACUAUUACACCAGAAAGUCACUGAUGUUUGUAUAUUUAUUGUCUGUUGAAUUGACUCACUCAACUCUCAUUUUUAAAAAUAAUGUUUCCGUUUUCCCAAAUAUCUUUGCUUUCCUAUGUAGACAACAAUUUCACCUGGGCAUGUAAAUGUUUAUCUGUUCUAUGUCUUAUUCCUGUCCCCACGUGAGUAGAUUGGCAUAAAAGGGAUUGUUAACAGCAUUGUUAUAACUCUGGCCUUAAUGGAAUAAUAAUUGCUCUUUUUUUUUUUUGGCCAUCCCUGCAGCAUGUGGAAAUUUCCAGGCCAGGGAUCGAACCCAUGCCACAGCAGGAACCUGAGCCACUGCAUUGACAACGCCUGGAUCCUUAAUCUGUGGCGCCACAAGAGAACUCCAAUAAUUGCUCAUUUUUACUGAGCAUUUUCUACACGAUAAUCGCUUUGCCAAAGGAUUUAGGUGGAAGUUCCCAUAUGAUACA
rnacentral:lncRNA from 1 species